rnacentral:lncRNA from 1 species
UAUAAUGGUAUGUGAAUAAAAUUAUAAUUAAGUCAGAUAUAAUUAACUUGAUCCACAGGGAGUGAUUAUUUUUAUAAUCUACUUGAAAUAAGAUGGUAAUCUGGAAGGAUAGAUUUUUUCUAAACCCGCCGGUAUAGAAAUUUACUAUCUUUUGAUAUAUAAGUUGCUGGUCUUAUUAAUAAAAUAUUAUUAAUAAAUUUUAUGCAUGAUAUACAUCUACCCACAGAAAAGUUAGAAUUUACUAAUAAAAUUAAUAUUGAUUAUUUCAGAUUACAGUUUAUGUUUUAUAGCACUAAAGUUUUUUAUACUUAUUGAUUAUUAUAGCUAAUCCUACUGCAUAUAUUAAUGAUGCUGCUCUUAUUCCAACAUCAAGUGCUGAUAAUUUUUUUGAUUGAAAACAUAGUGUUCUUUAUACUCUUGGAUAUAAAGACCUUGAUACGGUGUUUAUAUGGAUAAACUAUCUAUUCCCAUGGAUUCAAGUACG